rnacentral:rRNA from 1 species
UGAAACUGCGAAUGGCUCAUUAAAACAGUUAUGAUUUAUUUGAUAAUCGAAAGUUACAUGGAUAACCGUGACAAAUUACAGCUAAUACAUGCACAAAGACCUGGUCCAAGGGUCGUAAUUAUUAGUACUAAACCAAUUCCGCAAGGAAUGUGAUGAAUCAUAGUAAUCGAACGAAUCGCAGGUACAUGCGAUAAAUCAUUCAAGUUUCUGCCCUAUCAGCUUUGGAUGGUAGUGUAUUGGACUACCAUGGCAGUCACGGGUAACGGAGAAUUAGGGUUCGAUUCCGGAGAGGGAGCCUGAGAAACGGCUACCACAUCUACGGAAGGCAGCAGGCGCGAAAAUUGCCCAAUCCUGACACGGGGAGGCAGUGACAAGAAAUAACAACUCUAGGUUUUCUUAGAAGUGUAAUGAGGAUAAUUUACAAACCUUACCGAAUGCAAUUGGAAGGCAAGUCUGGUGCCAGCAGCCGCGGUAAUUCCAGCUCCAAUAGCGUAUAUUAAAGUUGUUGCAGUUAAAAAGCUCGUAGUUGAAGUUCUGAUUGUUCGGGUUUCUAGACAUUAGUCGGAGAUACUGACAGUCAUCCGCUUGCAAACAUAUGUUCGACCUUAAUCAGUUGGCUAUGUGAGUAAGCAUUUUACCUUGAGAAAAACAGAGUGUUC